rnacentral:misc_RNA from 1 species
GAUGAAGAACGCAGUGAAAUGCGAUACGUAAUGUGAAUUGCAGAAUUCAGUGAAUCAUCGAGUCUUUGAACGCACAUUGCGCCCCCUGGUAUUCCGGGGGGCAUGCCUGUUCGAGCGUCAUUUAACCCCUCAAGCCUAGCUUGGUAUUGGGUGCUUGUCCCGCCUCUCGCGCGGCGACUCACCUCAAAGUCAUUGGCAGCCCGCAUCUCGCCGGCCGUGAGCGCAGCACAGACGCGCUCUUGGCAACGACGGAUCGGCUCUCCAAAAGCUUAUUUCAACCACUGACCUCGGAUCAGGUAGGGAUACCCGCUGAACUUAAGCAUAUCAAUAAGCGGAGGA